rnacentral:lncRNA from 1 species
CUGUGCCUCCCAAAGGUGCUUGGGGCAGGAAAUGAAGAGCGGAAGAGCCCCCCAUCAAUCCAAUAGGAUUGUCGUUUUACGCUGGCGUGGAGCCUCAGACAUCAAAGGGGCUGGAGAGUGAAGCCACAUGUGGGCCGUGAAGUUGGUGACCCUGAGGCACAGAAAGCUGAGGGAAUUUGUUCGAAGUCACACAGCUGGGUCCUUGCAGAUGUAAUCAGGUGAAGAUGGGUUCAUAUUGGAUUGGAGUGAGUCAUAAUCCACUGUGACUGGUGUCUUUAAAAGAAAAGGACACACGGAAAUUCAGAGACAGAAAGACCCACAGGGAGAAUGCCAUGUGAUGACAGAGGCAGAGACUGGAGUGAUGGGUCUAUAGCCAACGGACACCAAAGACUCUCGUCCACCAGAAGCGGGAAGAGGCAAGAAGUGGAAAAGCAUUUGGGAGGAAGUGGAACCAAAGCAGAUCCUAUCCAAGGUGAAUGGCAAGCAGCUAUAUGAGGAUGGCCUUGCUCCCAGCCGGAUCUCCCAUCCUCAAGAAGGCCAGCCCAGGCUUCAUCACACGGCAGUGGAAGAGUUCUGAUUUAAGAGAAGAAGAGUGGAAGCUGCAGGUCCUGUUGAGACCUGGACUAGGAAGACACACAAUGCCACUUCUGCCACAUUCUAGUUGUCAUUUCUGGUUGUGAAAGCAAGUCCCAGGGCCAGUCAAGAUUCAAGGAAAGGGUAAAUAAACUCCAUUACUUGUUGGGUGCAGCCAAAAAAAGUCA